GCUUGCUGUUGGUGGAUGAGUGGCGAACGGGUGAGUAACACGUGAGUAACCUGCCCCUGAUUUCGGGAUAAGCCUGGGAAACUGGGUCUAAUACCGGAUAUGACCUCCCCUUGCAUGAUGGUUGGUGGAAAGUUUUUCGAUCGGGGAUGGGCUCGCGGCCUAUCAGCUUGUUGGUGGGGUAAUGGCCUACCAAGGCGACGACGGGUAGCCGGCCUGAGAGGGCGACCGGCCACACUGGGACUGAGACACGGCCCAGACUCCUACGGGAGGCAGCAGUGGGGAAUAUUGCACAAUGGGGGAAACCCUGAUGCAGCGACGCAGCGUGCGGGAUGACGGCCUUCGGGUUGUAAACCGCUUUCAGCAGGGAAGAAGCGAAAGUGACGGUACCUGCAGAAGAAGUACCGGCUAACUACGUGCCAGCAGCCGCGGUAAUACGUAGGGUACGAGCGUUGUCCGGAAUUAUUGGGCGUAAAGAGCUCGUAGGUGGUUGGUCACGUCUGCUGUGGAAACGCAACGCUUAACGUUGCGCGUGCAGUGGGUACGGGCUGACUAGAGUGCAGUAGGGGAGUCUGGAAUUCCUGGUGUAGCGGUGAAAUGCGCAGAUAUCAGGAGGAACACCG
rnacentral:rRNA from 2 species